rnacentral:rRNA from 1 species
UACGUAGGGGGCGAGCGUUGUCCGGAUUUACUGGGCGUAAAGAGCGUGUAGGCGGCCAGACAGGUCCGUUGUGAAAACUGGAGGCUCAACCUUCAGACGUCGACGGAAACCGUCUGGCUAGAGUCCGGAAGAGGAGAGUGGAAUUCCUGGUGUAGCGGUGAAAUGCGCAGAUAUCAGGAAGAACACCCGUGGCGAAAGCGGCUCUCUGGAACGGUACUGACGCUGAGACGCGAAAGCGUGGGGAGCGAACAGG